UACGGAGGGGGCUAGCGUUGUCCGAAGUUACUGGGCGUAAAGCGCGCGUAGGCGGGUUGGUAAGUCCGCUGUGAAAGCCCGGAGCUCAACUCCGGAGGGUCGGUGGAUACUGCCAGUCUUGAAGGUGCUAGGGGGAGAUGGAAUUGACCGGUGUAGCGGUGAAAUGCGUAGAUAUCGGUAGGAACACCAGUGGCGAAGGCGGUCUCCUGGGGCAUUCUUGACGCUGAGGCGCGAAAGCAUGGGGAGCGAACAGG
rnacentral:rRNA from 1 species